AAAGUCAAUUCUUUAAGCUUU
rnacentral:snRNA from 1 species